AGAGUUUGAUCAUGGCUCAGAACGAACGCUGGCGGCAUGCUUAACACAUGCAAGUCGAACGCUUUCAUCGGCUUCGGCCGAUGAGGGAGUGGCGGACGGGUGAGUAACGCGUGGGAACCUGCCCUUGAGUGCGGGAUAACCGAGGGAAACUUCGGCUAAUACCGCAUGCGCCCCCUCACGGGGGGAAAGAUUUAUCGCUCGAGGAGGGGCCCGCGUCGGAUUAGCUAGUUGGUGGGGUAACGGCCUACCAAGGCGAUGAUCCGUAGCUGGUCUGAGAGGAUGAUCAGCCACACUGGGACUGAGACACGGCCCAGACUCCUACGGGAGGCAGCAGUAGGGAAUAUUGGACAAUGGGGGCAACCCUGAUCCAGCAAUGCCGCGUGAGUGAUGAAGGCCUUAGGGUUGUAAAGCUCUUUCGCGCGCGACGAUGAUGACGGUAGCGCGAGAAGAAGCCCCGGCUAACUUCGUGCCAGCAGCCGCGGUAAUACGAAGGGGGCGAGCGUUGUUCGGAAUUACUGGGCGUAAAGGGCGCGCAGGCGGCUCUUCAAGUCAGGCGUGAAAGCCCCGGGCUUAACCUGGGAAUUGCGCUUGGGACUGGAGGGCUUGAGUUCGGGAGAGGAGAGUGGAAUUCCCAGUGUAGAGGUGAAAUUCGUAGAUAUUGGGAAGAACACCGGUGGCGAAGGCGGCUCUCUGGACCGAUACUGACGCUGAGGCGCGAAAGCGUGGGGAGCAAACAGGAUUAGAUACCCUAGUAGUCC
rnacentral:rRNA from 1 species